AUUGAACGCUGGCGGCAGGCUUAACACAUGCAAGUCGAGCGGGGUGAGGUGCUUCGGUACUGAUCCUAGCGGCGGACGGGUGAGUAAUGCUUAGGAAUCUGCCAUUUAGUGGGGGACAACAUUCCGAAAGGAAUGCUAAUACCGCAUACGUCCUACGGGAGAAAGCAGGGGAUCUUCGGACCUUGCGCUAAAUGAUGAGCCUAAGUCGGAUUAGCUAGUUGGUGGGGUAAAGGCCUAACAAGGCGACGAUCUGUAGCGGGUCUGAGAGGAUGGUCCGCCACACUGGGACUGGGACACGGCCCAGAAUCCUACGGGGGGCAGCAGUGGGGAAUAUUGGACAAUGGGGGGAAGCCUGGUCCAGCCAUGCCGCGUGUGUGAAGAAGGCCUUUUGGUUGUAAAGCACUUUAAGCGAGGAGGAGGCUACCUGGAUUAAUACUCUGGGAUAGUGGACGUUACUCGCAGAAUAAGCACCGGCUAACUCUGUGCCAGCAGCCGCCGUAAGAC
rnacentral:rRNA from 1 species